UACGGAGGGGGCUAGCGUUGUUCGGAAUUACUGGGCGUAAAGCGCACGUAGGCGGCUUUGUAAGUCAGAGGUGAAAGCCCGGGGCUCAACUCCGGAAUUGCCUUUAAGACUGCAUCGCUAGAAUUGUGGAGAGGUAAGUGGAAUUCCGAGUGUAGAGGUGAAAUUCGUAGAUAUUCGGAAGAACACCAGUGGCGAAGGCGACUUACUGGACACAUAUUGACGCUGAGGUGCGAAAGCGUGGGGAGCAAACAGG
rnacentral:rRNA from 1 species